CGGGGGGGGCAAGCGUUGUUCGGAAUUACUGGGCGUAAAGGGCGCGUAGGCGGUUUGCUAAGUUGGAUGUGAAAACUCUGGGCUUAACCCAGAGCCUGCAUCCAAAACUAGCAGGCUAGAGUUCUGGAGGGGAUAGCGGAAUUCCUGGUGUAGCGGUGAAAUGCGUAGAUAUCAGGAGGAACACCGGUGGCGAAGGCGGCUAUCUGGACAGAAACUGACGCUGAGGCGCGAAAGCUAGGGGAGCAAACAGGAUUAGAUACCCUGGUAGUCCUAGCCCUAAACGAUGGAUACUUGGUGUGACUGGGAUUGAAUCCAGUCGUGCCGAAGCUAACGCAUUAAGUAUCCCGCCUGGGGAGUACGGUCGCAAGGCUG
rnacentral:rRNA from 1 species